rnacentral:rRNA from 1 species
CAGCAGCCGCGGUAACACGAAGGGGGCUAGCGUUGUUCGGAAUCACUGGGCGUAAAGCGCACGUAGGCGGACUUUUAAGUCAGGGGUGAAAUCCCAAGGCUCAACCUUGGAACUGCCUUUGAUACUGGAAGUCUUGAGUUCGGGAGAGGUGAGUGGAACUGCGAGUGUAGAGGCGAAAUUCGUAGAUAUUCGCAAGAACACCAGUGGCGAAGGCGGCUCACUGGCCCGAUACUGACGCUGAGGUGCGAAAGCGUGGGGAGCAAACAGGAUUAGAUACCCCUGUAGUCCCUGUCUCUUAUAC